GCUUGCGACAGCCUUACCACCUCCCCAACCCUUUUUAAGCCUAGAACUUCCUCCCUGAGCACCCAGCAUGGCCCAGAAACAUCAGAUCUUUCCCAGAAGAUGUUUUGGUAUAUCUGAGGAUGGCAGUCCCUCCAAGGCGAAUGAAUGCAGAGUCUUCCUGUAUGAUCAGCAGCUAUGAGCAAGCUUUGACUGCAAUGGAAACAUUUUGAUUCUGGAGAUGACAGGAUGGACAGCCUUGGUUUGAGUCUACGUGUUGUUAAUUUUUACCUAGGAAGGUGCAUCGUUUGAGCUUUACCUGUUUCUUCAUGGAGGUAUCUUAUUCUGAUUGGCCUUUAUUUUCUGCAAUGUCUGUCCCUAGUCUGGUCAGAAAAGGCUACCCAUGUAAGUCUGAGAAUAGUAGCAUCACCCAAUGCUGAUGGCCGUUCUGACAACAUUUGGUGGUCAUUUUGACAUUGGCUUGAUCUGCAUCCUCGUCCUUCUGUCUUUGAAUCAUUCAUUUUGUCCAAUGGCAACUCUGUAGGAAUGAAGUUGAGGAUCCUGCUUCCUGCUACCUAACAGGAGGUGCCAAGAAAUGAGCAGAGCUAAUCCUGUUCUAUGGAACCAGUGUGUAAAUACACACUGUUAAAUACCUAAACAUAUUUUUUUUUAAAAAAACCUUCAAGAAAAUAUAUUUUUAUUCCCGGUAAUCUACUUCUCCUCUUACGGGGAUUUUAAAAUGUGGAUG